rnacentral:rRNA from 1 species
GACGAACGCUGGCGGCGUGCUUAACACAUGCAAGUCGAACGGAAAGACCCUGCUUUUGUGGGGUGCUCGUGUGGCGAACGGGUGAGUAACACGUGAGUAACAUGCACUUGACUUUGGGGUAACUUCAGGAAAAAGGGGCUAAUACCGGAUAGGAGCUCCUGAUGCAUGGUGGGGGUUGGUAAGUGUCGGCGGUUGGGGAUGGACUCGCGGCUUAUCCGCUUGUUGGUGGGGUAGUGGAGUACAAGGGCUUUGAAGGGUAGCCUGCCUGAGAGCGUGACCGGCCACAUGGGGCCUGCGGUAGGCACCAGUCGCCUACCUGCGGCAGUAGUGGGAAAUAUUGCACAGCGGGCCGGAGCCUGAUGCAGCAGCGCCGCGUUCGGGAUGACCUCCUUCGGGUGGUAAACCGCUUUCGCCUUUGCCGAAGCGUGCGUGACGGUAAUGGGUAAAGAAGCACCGGCUAACUACGUG